AGCGAACGCUGGCGGCAGGCUUAACACAUGCAAGUCGAGCGGGCACUUCGGUGUCAGCGGCAGACGGGUGAGUAACACGUGGGAACGUACCCUUCGGUUCGGAAUAACGCUGGGAAACUAGCGCUAAUACCGGAUACGCCCUUUUGGUGAAAGGUUUACUGCCGAAGGAUCGGCCCGCGUCUGAUUAGCUAGUUGGUGGGGUAAUGGCCUACCAAGGCGACGAUCAGUAGCUGGUCUGAGAGGAUGAUCAGCCACACUGGGACUGAGACACGGCCCAGACUCCUACGGGAGGCAGCAGUGGGGAAUAUUGGACAAUGGGCGCAAGCCAGAACCAGCCAUGCCGCGUGAGUGAUGAAGGCCUUAGGGUUGUAAAGCUCUUUUGUCAGGGACGAGAAUGACGGUACCGGAAGAAUAAGCCCCGGCUAACUUCGUG
rnacentral:rRNA from 1 species